AUGACCACUUUGAAACAGAUCCUCUCGCUAAUUUGCCCAGGGGACUGGUUCUUCUUUCUGGAUCUGAAAGACGCUUACUUUCACAUUCAGAUAGCCCCCUGCCACAGGCGCGUCUUGAGAUUCGCCUUCGAGAGAGUGGCAUAUCAAUAUACGGUCCUGCCAUUCGGUCUGUCUCUAGCCCCAUGCACUUUCACGAAGUGCAUAGAUAUGGCUCUCUCCCCUCUGAGACAGAUGGAAAUCCGCAUUCUGAAUUACCUCAACGACUGGCUUAUUUUAGCCCAGUCAAAGCUAAUAUCCCACAGAUCCUUCCUCCUCAUCCACUUAGAGUGCUUGGGGCUCAGGCUCAAUUCCCAGCCAACGAAUCUCAUUUCUGGGGGCUGUCUUCGACUCAUCCCAAAUGAGAGCUGUAGCCCUGCCAGAACGUGUACUGGCUAUACAACAGCUGAUGACCGCCUUCACAAUUUGCGCGUCUCUUCCUCUCAGAGUGUUUCAGAGGAUGCUGGGCCUUAUGGCCUCUGCAUCACCAGUACUGCAGUUAGGCCUCCUUCAAAUGCGGCCCCUUCAGCACUGGCUGAAACCUCUAGUUCCAUCCUGAGCUUGGGGUCACGGACGCCUUUGUAUCAAGGUGGAUCGAGCCUGCGUCGUAGUCCUUGCCCCUUGGAAGGACCCUUCAUGGGUCAAACAAUGCGUACCCCUGGGGAUGAUACACAAAAGGAAGCUCAUCUUCACAGAUGCGUCAAAGACUCUGGCAGACCAGCCUUUGGCACGUGGUGGAGCGAAGAGAUAAAGCUGCACAUCAACUGCCUGGAAAUGCUGGCAAUAUGGCAGGCCUUACAGUCCUUCCUACCACAUUUAGAAGGAUGCCACAUCUUAGUCCGAUCGUACAACAUGACGGUAGUAUCCUAUAUAAAUCGCCAAGGCAGCCUUUCCUCCCCACACCUUUUCAGAAUGGCAAAGAGCCUUCUGGAGUGGGCACAUUGCAACCUGCACUCUCUGAAAGCAGCACACGUGCCAGGCAAACUGAAUUGGGGAGCAGACAUGCUGUCUCGGAGCAACAUUCCCUCUGGCGAGUGGAUGCUCCAUCCCCAGACAGUUCGGAGAAUUUGGGAGAUCUUCAGCAGAGGUUGA
ensembl:lncRNA